AUUGAACGCUGGCGGCAGGCCUAACACAUGCAAGUCGAGCGGAUGAAGAGAGCUUGCUCUCUGAUUCAGCGGCGGACGGGUGAGUAAUGCCUAGGAAUCUGCCUGGUAGUGGGGGAUACCAGUUGGAAACGACUGUUAAUACCGCAUAAUGUCUACGGACCAAAGGUUGGGACCUUCGGGCCACAUGCUAUCGGAUGCGCCUACGUGGGAUUAGCUAGUUGGUGAGGUAAUGGCUCACCAAGGCGACGAUCCCUAGCUGGUUUGAGAGGAUGAUCAGCCACACUGGAACUGAGACACGGUCCAGACUCCUACGGGAGGCAGCGGUGGGGAAUAUUGGACAAUGGGCACAAGCCUGAUCCAGCCAUGCCGCGUGUGUGAAGAAGGCCUUCGGGUUGUAAAGCACUUUCAGUAGGGAGGAAGCGUUGUGUGUUAAUAGUACACAGCGUUGACGUUACCUACAGAAGAAGCACCGGCUAACUCUGUGCCAGCAGCCGCAGUAAUAC
rnacentral:rRNA from 1 species